rnacentral:rRNA from 1 species
AGUGAACGCUGGCGGUAGGCCUAACACAUGCAAGUCGAACGGCAGCACAGUAAGAGCUUGCUCUUACGGGUGGCGAGUGGCGGACGGGUGAGGAAUACAUCGGAAUCUACUUUUUCGUGGGGGAUAACGUAGGGAAACUUACGCUAAUACCGCAUACGACCUACGGGUGAAAGCAGGGGAUCUUCGGACCUUGCGCGAUUGAAUGAGCCGAUGUCGGAUUAGCUAGUUGGCGGGGUAAAGGCCCACCAAGGCGACGAUCCGUAGCUGGUCUGAGAGGAUGAUCAGCACACCUGGAACUGAGCAACGGUCAAGACCCCUAGGGGAGGCAGAAGUGGGGAAUAUUGGACAAUGGGCGAAAGCCUGAUCCAGCCAUACCGCGUGGGUGAAGAAGGCCUGCGGGUUGUAAAGCCCUUUUGUUGGGAAAGAAAAGCAGCAGGUUAAUACCCCGCUGUUCUGACGGUACCAAAGAAUAAGCACCGGCUAACUUCGUG